GACGAACGCUGGCGCCGUGCUUAACACAUGCAAGUCGAACGGAAAGGCCCUGCUUUUGUGGGGUGCUCGAGUGGCGAACGGGUGAGUAACACGUGAGUAACCUGCCCUUGACUUUGGGAUAACUUCAGGAAACUGGGGCUAAUACCGGAUAGGAGCUCCUGCUGCAUGGUGGGGGUUGGAAAGUUUCGGCGGUUGGGGAUGGACUCGCGGCUUAUCAGCUUGUUGGUGGGGUAGUGGCUUACCAAGGCUUUGCCGGGUAGCCGGCCUGAGAGGGUGACCGGCCACAUUGGGACUGAGAUACGGCCCAGACUCCUACGGGAGGCAGCAGUGGGGAAUAUUGCACAAUGGGCGGAAGCCUGAUGCAGCAACGCCGCGUGCGGGAUGACGGCCUUCGGGUUGUAAACCGCUUUCGCCUGUGACGAAGCGUGAGUGACGGUAAUGGGUAAAGAAGCACCGGCUAACUACGUG
rnacentral:rRNA from 1 species